rnacentral:lncRNA from 1 species
GGCCCUGCAACCAAACCCCAGGGCAGCUUGUCCUCUCCCCUAAAGCUAAUUUCCUUACCCCCAUGGGCGGAAUGUGGACUGGGUGGUUUUUCUGGCGGAUUGCUCCAGAUUCACAGCAGACCCACCAUUCACUCUCACCAGGCCCUGGACAGGGCUGGUCCGGGAAAUUGUGAAGGAAUUCUUUGAUGCCUUCCUCCAAGGUUUAGGAAUGACAAAUGAAGCCUUAGGACAAUGCUGGCCCGACAGAAGUUUGCUAAACCUGGUCUUCCCUCUCCCGUCUGCUCUCUCUGACUCAGCUCCAGGUCCUCUCUCCUUCUGGCCCCCGAACUCAGCCUUCCCUUCCCUCGGGGCCUUGAGACAAGCUACCUGGCUGUGGCAAUGACCGUUUAAGGAGUGACCCCUACAAGGCAUUUCUGUUUCAAUGGCUGACUCUUGAGCCGUAACCCCCAAAAGUGUGGAUGGCAGUGCCGAGACUGGCGGUUAGGGGGUGCUAUCACUCAGAUGGGGCCUGCCCUGAAUAUUAGCCCUUGAUUUGCCACCCCACUCCCUGCCUGACCCCAGCAGGUUCCCCGCCACCCAAACCCUCCAGCGUCUGAGAAACACAACUUGCCCUGGUCACCCAUCCCCCCCACACACACAGACAGUGCUGACCUUCAGGGGAACAUUGAAACCUCUUCACUGUAAAGUGUGUGUGGAAAAGAAACUGAGCAUCUGAAACCCCAGCUCCUGCACUCCACCCAUUGCCCAAGCGGCCGCCCACAGCAGUUACAAAGAGGAAGACUAACCCUGAGCUAACAUCCGCCAAUCCUCCUCUUUUUACUGAGGAAGACUGGCCCUGAGCUAACAUCCGUGCCCAUCUUCCUCUACUUU